rnacentral:pre_miRNA from 1 species
GCAAUUACUCUCCACUUCUACAAGGCAUUUGUUCUCUGGUUAAAGGUCUUCUGAACCAUAGAGAAUAAAUGUCCUGUGGAAGUUGAAAGUAAAUGC